GAUUAACGCUAGCGGCAGGCCUAAUACAUGCAAGUCGAACGGCAGCGGGUCCAGCAAUGGAUGCCGGCGAGUGGCGCACGGGUGCGUAACGCGUAUGCAACCUACCUUUGACUGGGGGAUAGCCCCGAGAAAUCGGGAUUAAUACCCCAUAUUAUUAUGAAGUGGCAUCACUUUAUAAUUAAAGCUCCGGCGGUCUUAGAUGGGCAUGCGUGACAUUAGCUUGUUGGUGAGAUAACGGCUCACCAAGGCGACGAUGGCUAGGGGUUCUGGGAGAAUUUUCCCCCACACUGGUACUGAGACACGGACCAGACUCCUACGGGAGGCAGCAGUAAGGAAUAUUGGGCAAUGGGCGCAAGCCUGACCCAGCCAUGCCGCGUGAAGGAUGACGGCCCUAUGGGUUGUAAACUUCUUUUGUACGGGAAAAAACCCCCGGUCGUGAACCGGGGUUGAUGGUACCGUAAGAAUAAGCAUCGGCUAACUCCGUGCCAGCAGCCGCGGUAACAC
rnacentral:rRNA from 1 species